UAUUCCUCUAUUUUUCCCUUGAAAAGAUAACGUGCGUUUACUUCUUUCUAGGAUCUUCCUUCCGUGUAAAUCUAUCUGCCUCAGUGAAGUAACUGAAGUAUGUUACAAGUCUCCAGCUUGUGACCCAGGGGAGUUUUGUCAUAUCUUGUGUAAACGUACCACCUGUCCUAGGAUAUCUCAAACAGCACAAGAUACUUACGCUUAGACUCAUCUACAUGAGGUAAGCCCAGACUAUGCCUCAUGGAAGAUACUGUGAGCAUUUUGGAGUGGAUGGUGGUAAAUGAGUGCUUAAAAUGGAGAAGGCAAGCUUUCUCCCUGACUUCUGCAUGUGCUGCUGCGGUUUGGGAAGGAGAUGGCAACCAACAGAGAUCUUGCUCUGACUCAGCAUCCUCAUAGGGCUCUUCUUGAGAAGGAGAAAAGGAUGCAGGAAAUGGAACAGUUUACUGAAGCCGCGUCCUCAUUGACACUGACGACUGGUGGUUUCAUCUUUCUAGCUUUCAACAUCAAGAGCUAAAGAGAAACCCUAAUGACCGCGAUUAAGAUAUGCCCUCUUACAUCAGGACUGAAAGUCUGAUUACUUGAAGGAGAAUAAUAAAAACGACAUAACUGUAUUUUACUUGGCGAGAGCUCUCCUUACGUUAACCAACAUACUACAGAAAAGUUAUGGGGAAGAAGUUCACUCUUCACUGAAUCACGUCCCAGAUCAGGUUGAAUUUGAAUAUCGCCCAUAACAGACAGAUGCACGAAGCAUUGUUGCAGUACGGACUCCUGUCUCUCGGGGUGAUGAUGCGGUGAGACGAUGACAGUGAUUAUUCUGGAUCUGCAUUAUCCAGGUGCAGGGCAUCCAUGUGUCCCAAGUGCUGAGGUGUGAUGGGAAGAAAACUUGAGAGGGAAUUUGUAUUGCAGGUUGUGUAAAGUGGCAAUUCCAAAGCCGCAUAAAUUAAAAUUAUCUAAUGGUAUUGCACUUGGAGCCUUAAACUCGAAGGUACAGCUUGUGCCCAUCCGCUCUGAAACUUGCUGUGUACCUCAGAGAGUCAACAGAGUGAAUAUGCUCAAGUGCAUACAGCCACAUAAAUCUCUGCUCUCAGAGACAAAACUGCAGUCCUGCGGUCCAAGCUGAAGCCAUAUAUCUAAAAUAAGGGAAGGUGUUCUUCCUGUCCUAGUUCUUUGCCUGAUACACUUCGGUGAAGUUAAAUACAGCUCCACAGCCACAUAAAAUAAUUUUUUGGCGAGCCUUGAAUAAGGAUGUAUGGAGAGAAAAAUAUUUUGAUGUGUCUACUCAAGUCGCAUAUAAACUCUUCUGAAAUUUGAGUUUGCUUAAAUGUCAAGGCCAAUUUGCGUGGGAUCAGGAGCUCUGCGUUUUGAAGGAAGUUCAUGUCAGGACAAACCUACUUUCCAAAUGUUGUUACAAACCUAAUACAAAGGUUUGUGUUGAUUCCCCUUCUCCUGGACUCAUGUUGGCUUGACUGGAUGGGACCUGGUGACUGCUCUCUAACUAUUCCCAGACAGUCUUUCCUAGCAGGGGAGCACUUUGAAAAUGUCACCGAUAUAGUAUUUAAAAUUGCUGGCACUAUUAAACAUGUGGUGUUUAUUAAGGAGCAUUAAAGAACACGCAAUAAAUGGCUCCAUGCAGUUUGAGACCUGGCUGUACCAGAGACAAAAUAUUUAGCACGACAUCAAGAGAUUUUAGUGGCUGAAUGUAUGCUAGAAGUAAACAUGCCUUUACGCAAAUAAUUUGUUGGUCAGGUGUGAACUGAGGCCGACCUUAGGUCUGUUCCCAGCCGGAGAUGAAUGGCUCUCCGCGCCGCUUUGCCUUUUCCUCCCCUCUCAGGCACUAAUCCAAGCUGUUUUCUCGAGGUCUGCUGGAGUGGCCCGUGUCUGUGUGCUUGUAAAGGGCCUUUUGUGCAUCGUUUCUGCUGGAUUCCUCCCCAGACGCUAAUGCAAGGAAAAUAUUGUUGGUGCCGUGUUGUGUAACAGCGGCUCUCAGAGCGCGUCCCGGGGAGCGCCUGGUGGAGCUCCGUGGUGAGCUGGGUGCCCAGAUGGUGCUGGCUCCUUCUCCUUCCUACUCACUGCCGAGAUCAUGAAAAGACACUUAGAAUAUGUUGCUGAGCAGAAUUUUCUAUCCCUUCGCAAGCACCUAAUGAAGAUGGGUAACGGGGUUGGUUAAGCUGGACAGCAGCGCUAGGGAUUCACCGUGCUUAAUUGUUGUUUAUGAUGAUUAACAUAAGAGCUAGCUCCCCUAAAUUCCGUUUGUAAUGAAUGGGGAGCAGUAAACACUUCACAGCGGGGUUUCUGCAAUCUGGUUUGGCUGUCUGCUAUGGGGUGGGAGGAAAUGUGUGCCAGAAGGGCCUGCUUUUCUCCAUUAACUCUAAACGAAGUGUAUGGUGCCUGGCUCAGGUGUGGCUGUCCAUAGCACAGGGAAAACCAGCCCUGUCUCUACAGCCUCUUUGGAGAAAAGUCAAAAAUAUGUUUCUUCCCUGCAGGUACUCUUCAGGAAUAGGAAAGGAAGCUGAAAAUCACUUAGGACAAGAGUGAGUGAAGUUCUCAUGCAGUGAAAAUGCUUGCAAAGCCUUGCUGUAGUGUGUCCUCUACAAGCUCCCCAUUAUCCAGGCUACAUCUAUUCAGGUUAAGUUGUGUAAACAAAAAGACUGAGUCUAACACAAAAAAUUAGUCAUAGCACUGUUUUGUUUGCUAAUGUGGAUGCUAUAAAAGUUACAGCAGCUUAGAAUCCAGACACGGCUUUUGUUAAAAUACCAUUUCAAACCCACUGGUGCAUCCUUUAUUCCUACGCAGAGUAAGCAUUCCAUUGUGAGGUGUUAUAGAAAAAGGAUUGCUAGUUCUUGCAAGUUAAAGUAAGCUACCCAGUAAUGUGAUCUGUGAUUAGACUAGAAUUCAUUCUGGAUUGGGAGAUAAUACUGGGACACAUUUUCAGAAGACACCAGUAUUUUCCAUUGUAGCAGCAAACAUAGCUUUUUGAAUGUUUGUUUUCCUUAAAGGAACACAUGAUGCAUUAAGGAACUAUCAAGCUUGCGAGAUGUGAUUCAUUUUUUCUUUUCACUAGCAUAAAUAUUUGCAGAAAGUUUUUUUCCCUGUUUUUUAUAAACACUGCUCAAGAAAUCACUGUUUAUAAGCCUGAAAAUCCUACAAAGAACGGUCUCAAAGGAAUAUGACAGGCAUUAUGCACUCACUGAUUAUUAUCUCUGUGUGAUUUUUUUCCUAUUAAAAUCUGAAAACAGGUU